GGCUAUAAUUACGGUUCCGGUUUCCGCAAGGAAAUAAUUGGGAAUCCGCAAGGGCCAUCACGGCCCCAAACGGAACUGCCCCCGCAACUGUAGGCGCCGAGCCUGCUCCACGAUGCCACUGGGCCACCCCGGGAAGGCUGGAGCGAGGCGAUGACGCGCGAGUCAGGAGACCUGCCGGUACCAAUGUUGACCA
rnacentral:ncRNA from 2 species